rnacentral:rRNA from 1 species
UGGCGGGACGGGGUGGAGGUAACGCGUGGGUAACCUGCCUCAUACAGGGGGAUAACAGUUAGAAAUAGACUACUAAUACCGCAUAAGACCACAGCACCGCAUGGUGCAGGGGUAAAAACUCCGGUGGUAUGAGAUGGACCCGCGUCUGAUUAGGUAGUUGGUGGGGUAACGGCCUACCAAGCCGACGAUCAGUAGCCGACCUGAGAGGGUGACCGGCCACAUUGGGACUGAGACACGGCCCAA